rnacentral:misc_RNA from 1 species
AAGUCGUAACAAGGUUUCCGUAGACAAGUCCUUCCGUGGUACACUUGCCGAAGCCUUAGCUGCCCGAAGGGGUUCUUAGCGACUAUAAAUAAGUAGGUAGCUAGUCUCGAUUGAGGCAACAUUUCCAAAUUGCGGGAAUCCCCUAACGCCGACACUACUAAGUGUGGCUCGAAAGAGACCACAUGGCCAGGUUAAUAGCCUCGGGUAUAGUAAAAAUGUGUCUGGAUGUAACAAUGGGCAAUCCGCAGCCAAGUCCUAACCUCCUCGUGAGUAUGGAUGCAGUUCACAGGCCAAAUGGUUAUGGGUGGCGCAAGCUGCUUAAGAUAUGGUCGGGCUCUUUAGGAAACUAUUGAGGUAAGUACCCGUUGUAGUUAACUAUGACGUCACGUAAAGCGUUCCGUAGGUGAACCUGCGGAAGGAUCAUUAACGAAUCAAAGGUCUUCGGACCGAUUCUCUUACACCCGUGCUCUUGUUUUCGGACAAACGAUUUUCUGCAUAUACAGUCGUCUGAGAAAUCCAUCCUUUUAUGGAUGUAGAAGAAAUAUAAAAA